GCGAAGUUGUUUACAUUGGCGUCUGCAAGUCGUGAGACAGCAUGAGAGGCCCUGAUCCGGCUGGGAUGUACUUCUCGACCCCAGACAGGGAUAAUGACAAGUGGAGUGAUAAUAACUGUGCUGCUGCUUUCAAAGGAGGCUGGUGGUUUAUCCGCUGUAACAGAGCCUUCCUUAACGCUCCAUGGGCCCCUACAGUACGUGGAAUACCAUUAAAGAGGACGUUAAUGAUGGUCAAACGUAACUAGAUGAAAGAUCAUAUAUGGAUUAUGCAAGCCCUCAAAAGAAGAUUUUUGAUUAAUUUCUCACGCUGAUUUUUUUUAGAUAUUAAACAUCAAGUAAUAAACAUGUAAACAAAUAUGUUUUCGGUAAAUAAAGGGGGUUUAACUAUUUU